rnacentral:lncRNA from 10 species
UUGCCCAGGCUGGCGUGCAGUGGCCUGAUCAUAGCUCACUGCAGCCUCGACCUCCUGGGCUCAAGUGAUUGUCCAGCCUUAGCUUCCUGACUACUCAGGAGGCUGAGGUGGGAGGAUUGAUUAGGCCCUGGAGGUCGAGGCUGCAGUGAGCUGUGAUUACACCACUGUAUUCCAGCCUGGGCAACGGAGCAAGACUCUGGCUCAAAAAAAAAAAAAAAAGAAAAGAAAAAUAUGCUUCCCAUGGGUCUUCCUUCCUUGUAGAAAUCUUAUUGUUAAUCAUUGUAGGACUGCUGGAAACUCACAAAAGUAACAGCUAGGGGAUGAUAGGAGAUGCGUGCAGUUGUUGCAGUCCUGUAUGGUCCCUGUUCCAUGCUCCUGGCUCUAGUUGAAGGCCGUGAGCAGAAGUCCCCUGUGGGCUGAGCCUCUUGCGCAUCUCUGUCCAAGGGAGGCCGGCCUAGGGGCUUAGGUUCCACAUGGUUUUAUGUGCCCCUUAUUUCCCAUGGGCAGUCUCAUCCCUGCCCCCUUGACCUCCGCCUGCCCUGGAAGGCCCCGCCCCUGGCCUAGGCCUGGCCUUGGCCCUGCCCCCGUCCUGUGCUCUCUGCAGCUCUCUGUGCUGUACCCACCUCCUUAUGAGUUCCUGGUGAGGGUUGUCAGGGCUCAGGUUGGGUCUUCUAGACUGCACGUUCUCAGGGCACCAUCUGACCUGGCUUCUGCCUGUCGGAUUUGGGCUCCAUAGGGACCCUU